rnacentral:rRNA from 1 species
GGACCCGCACAAGCGGUGGAGCAUGUGGUUUAAUUCGACGCAACGCGAAGAACCUUACCUGGGUUAAAUCCCAGUUGCAAAGUGCAGAGAUGCACUCCCCUCGCAAGAGGCGGCUGGGAAGGUGCUGCAUGGCUGUCGUCAGCUCGUGUCGUGAGAUGUUGGGUUAAGUCCCGCAACGAGCGCAACCCUUACCACUAGUUGCCAGCAUUUAGUUGGGCACUCUAGCGGAACUGCCGGUGAUAAACCGGAGGAAGGUGGGGAUGACGUCAAGUCAUCAUGGCCUCUAUGUCCAGGGCUACACACGUGCUACAAUGGCCGGUACAAACCGUUGCGAACUCGCGAGAGGGAGCCAAUCGGAAAAAGCCGGUCUCAGUUCGGAUUGGAGUCUGCAACUCGACUCCAUGAAGUUGGAAUCGCUAGUAAUCGCAGAUCAGCACGCUGCGGUGAAUACGUUCCCGGGUCUU